rnacentral:rRNA from 1 species
UACAGGGGUGCAAACGUGCUCGGAAUUAUUGGGACGGUAAGCGCGCGUAGGCGGCUACUUAAGUCGGAUGAUUGAAAGCCCUUGGCUCAACUGAGGAAGUGCUACCCGAAACUGAGUGGCUACGAGUACGAAAGAGGGUUCGCGGGAAUUCCCGGUGUAGAGGUGAAAGUUCGUAAGAUGAUCAGGAGGAACACCAAUUGCGAAAGGCAGCUCGCUGGGACGUUACUGACGGCUGAGACG